rnacentral:lncRNA from 1 species
AAAAUUUACACUAAAACUCUUCUCGAAUGCUUUCUUUUCUAUGUAAAAACUAAGAUUAUGAUGGAAUAAAGUCUUCUUCAUUAGUAAGUUCUUUAUUUAAUUUGUCUUCUUUAUUUUUCUUCUGCACGAUCCCCUUUUUAUGGUAUCAGAGCCAUGUUAAUGGCACCCAUUGUUAGCAUGAGUAGCUAAAUUCUUUGGUUGUCUUGGCUGAUAGAAAUCAUGUGAUACGUUAGAUAAUGAAAUAAUCUUAACUUAGCUAUUAUCCGUCUUAUGAAUUAUUAUAUUUGAUUCUUUAUAAUCUCUUGAAAUUAUCCUAGUUAUUAUCUUGUAUAAUAUACUCUGUUAAUUUAGACUUAAAAUUAUAGGCCAGAGUUUCUUAUUAUCAUGUUGAGGUUUUGUCUAUGCAUAAGUCUGAGCAUGCCGAUUAAUCUCCGGCUUAAGGAUUUGGACGGUCUAAUGGUAGAUCAUAGUAAGUCCAGUAAGACCCUGGAGGGGCAGGCAGCCGAUCUUAUGGUGAGUAACAUCCAAAGCCUAUUUAAUUGAUUUAAGUCAUUUUUAACUUUUGUAUUAUUUAGAUAAUCACUGUUUUUAAUUUCUAUUGAUUUUAAGAACCAAUUGUAAUCUUUCAUUAGUCGGAUAGUCUUUGUUAAAAUUAUUUCUAACAUAUUUCUUAUCCUUGAAGUUCUUUCAUGCCUAAAGACAACCGUUUGUUCUCAUGAAUAGCAACAAUGUUGUUAACUCUGUUAAUUGCUCUAUAUCUAAAGAAGAUAUGCGUUUACAAAAUUGGUCUAUUCCUAAAGAACCUGUUAAUAAGAUUUACUAGAUAGGUAAUUUCAGUUUAUUUAAAUGUUUUGAUAUAAAAACUUGUGAAUGAUAAGUUUGAACACUCGAUAUGGAUCGCCUUAGCUGGGAAACACCUCUUUUCGGUGUGGAGAUGACACUUGAUUUCAUGAGUAACUCACAUGAUCAAGAUUGAUUUUAAUUGGUGAAUCACCUCUUCUCGGUGUGGGGAACACACUGGAUUUCAUGUUAGCUCGCAUAAUCUUACUUCCAAUGAUGUCUCUAUGAAAGCAAGAAAGACAUGAUAUAUGAAGAAGAUCUUAAGAAUGUUAAUAGAUAAUAUCAAUACUUAUUAAGUUUCAGCAAAUAAUGGGCAAGGCCAAAUAAGAUUGGCUUAUAAUGACUUCUUAUAUAAUGCCAAUAAAGUGAAAUAAAAACAUCACGACAACUAAAACCCUCAUAACUUCCCUAACAUGAAAGUAAUGAAAUAGAUGGCAUACCCAACAGAAACUGGCUUAUGAAAUGUUAAUGAAUACAUAGAGUAACGAAUGACUCAUUGUAAAGUAGUGAAAUAUUUCCUCAGUCCUUGGAUUACUUACUUGAUUAAUUGUAAGUAUGAGACUACAAUAAAUCAUUGCACUUAUAAAUAAAACAUAGGACAAAAGGAAUUAUUGAACUACACAACAAGUAGAAGAAAAAGACUAAAAAUAGAACUAAGUAUAGGAAUGGGAGCUCUCGGGUUGGGGGCUAUAUUCUUAAAAUGAAUCUAGAUCAUGUGAGUUACUCAUGAAAUCAAGUGUCAUCCCCACACCGAAAAGAGAUGAUUCCCAGCUAAGGCGAAUCCAUAUCGAAUGUUCAUACUUGUGAAUAGAAGUCUAUGUAAAUAUCCAAAUAUAUGUAAUGAUAAGUAUGAAAAUUUCUGCUAAAUUUGAGCUGUAAAUGUAAUAAUGUAUGCAAAAAGCCUAGUCUUAGUCCUAAUUGAGUACGACAAUGCCGAUUACGUCUAGCGGAUAUUCGUCGAUGUGAUAAACUUGGUAUCAGAGCAUGACGUUGAAUAUAUUUGAGUCAAUGUCUCUUUUAACCAUCUCUAUGUAAGUUCAUAUUCAAACUUGUGAAGCGUUCCACACUUAUUAAUAGGAACCUAUGCGAUGCAUAGGAAACUCUUACUUUCUUUGAAGUCUAAUAUCGUGCCUGUAGAGUUUAACUCUAUGUGGUUUUAGAAUCUAAUCCUUUUAUUGAGAUUAUACACAAUGAAUACAUUAAAUAAUGCGGCACGGAGGCUUGUGUAAGAGAUUGCUAAUGCAUGAGUUCCUCCCUGUAAUUAUCAAGUCCCUCAUCUUGAUGAAGACAUGAAUGAUGACAAAGCUCCGGUCGAUACUCUUUUACGGAUGGUGCCACAAGGGCUGCACUCUUCAAAAUGGCUCAAGCCAUUACAGCCGCAGUACAAGCCACCACUACUCAAGCCCAAGUUAUGACGGCCCAAUGUAAUCGAGAGGUUGUACCCCGAGCUCAUCAAUAAGCAUAUACGAUGGACUUUCCUCUAAGGGAUUUCACUAGGAUGAAUCCCCCGUCUAUCUAUGGGUUUAAGGUAGAAGAAAACCCCCAAGAGUUCAUUGAUGAAGUUUUUAAGAUUCUCUAUUCUAUUAAGUUGUCUACUAAUGAGAAGUUUGAGUUAGUCACUUAUCAACUCAAAGAUGUGGCCCAAACUUGGUAAGUCCAACGGAGGGACAAUAGGCCUUUAAAGGAGGACAGGUGACUUAGGAGGUGUUCUAGAAGGGUUUUCUUGAUAGGUUGUUUCCUAGUGAGAAGAGGGAAGUCAAGGGGGUGGAGUUCAUCAACUUCUUCAAGGAGGUAUGGGUGUUCUUGAAUAAUCUUUGAAUUUCACUGAAUUAUCAAAGUAUACUCCUUCUUUGGUGUACGAAACUAGGGAUGAAAUGAGUCAUUUUUGUGAUGGAGGUGUCUGAUGAUUUAUAAGACGAUUAUCAUUAAGAUAUAUUACAUGGCAAUCUGAACAUUUCUUGUCUCAUGAUUCAUGCUCAACAAGUGGAAGAGGCAAGGGUUAAGAGGAAGAGUAGAGAUGCCAAGAGGGCAAGAUCUUUUGAUGGUGGUUCUUCUAAGAGUAGGUUUGACAUUCUAAGCAAGCCUAAUUUCAAUAAGAGGGUGUCUAAUCAAGUUCCUUAUAUGUUAACUAAGUCUCAUUAUGAUUAGGUGUCUAACCCUAAGUCUAAAAAUAGAAAGGGUGCUAGUUCACUACCAGAGAAGCCCACUUGUGAAAAGUGUGGCAUUCACACUACGGUGAUUGCCUUAAGACAACGGAUAAUUGUAUUGGUUGUGGUAAAACCCAGCACAAGGUUUGAGAUUUCACUAAUGUGAGGAAUCAAUACAAGGGUAGUUGUCAAGCUCAACCAAGUAGUGCUAAUGAUUCUUCGAAGAAGAAUCACUCCUAUGCUCUCCGCUCUAGGGUUGAGCAAGAGACUUCUCCCGAAGAGGUGAACGGUAUGUAGAAAGUCUUUACCAAUGAUGUAUACUCUUUACUUUAUCCAUGCGCUACAUUAUCUUUUGUUACUCUCUUGAUAGCUAAGAAUUUGAAAUCUCACCCGACAUUCUGAAUGAACCUUUUAUAGUGUCUACCCCCGGUUGAGGAGUUGAUUGUUGCAAAAAGAGUAUAUAGGAAUUGUCCUAUAAUGUUUCCCAAAAGAUUUACUCAUAUUUAACUAGUAGAACUUGAUAUGUUUCACAUUAAAAAACCACACCAUAGAAGAUAUGGCAUUCUCGAAAUACAACAAGUGCAGUUGACCUCUCAGAGAUCUUGUACAAGCCCUUUUCAUAUCGUUCAUCUCAUAUACAUAAUGAAAAUUAGUGCUGAAUUAAAACUUUUCAAAAAAACAUUAGAAUACCUUUAUAAUAUCUUUUAUUAGAAAUCAUAAUAAAUAAUAAGUCUCAAACUCAUCACAGCUUUGACACGAGAAUAGUUGGGAUAUGGCCCAUAUUUCAAAAUAUCGAAAUAUAUAGUCUAUUACAAUACUUCAAUAAAGGAAAUAAAAGACAUAUUAUGCCCUCGAUUCAAAUAAGGGAAAACAUCAACUUUACUUUAAUGAUGCUAUGAUCCAAUCCUUGCUUCCCAAAUUCUCUUCACCUAUUAACCACAAUAGAGAUAGAUAAAAACAUGGAAUUAGUACAAACACAUGUACUAAGUAUGACAUAAUGCAUAAAAUCAUGAAAACAGACAUUUAUUAGAAAUAUGCAUCUUAUUCCUUAAAACAUCUUAUCAUAAUCAUAAAAAUAACAUUUAAAACCUUAGUAACACAUAACAUAACAUUUAAGCAAUUUAGUAAAUCUUUAGCAACAUUAUAGUGAACUAACUUCACUAUUACAGUGAACGUCACCAGUAAACUUAUCAACUUCUUCUGAGAUACAUUCUAGCAUGCAAUACUCCCACUAAAAGUUAUCCUACGGCUCACUUAAUUAAGACAAAGAGAGGUCGGCUAUACAAUGUCUCUGGGCACACCAAAUUCUCUUUAAGACAACCUAUAAUGAGAUAAACACAAACUUACAAGACAUCAUACACAUCAACAUGAGAUCCUUCUACCAAAAGCGUUUCGAUGUCUCACUUGAGUGAUUUGUGAAGUAAUAGCUCAUACAAUCCCUUAUACACACACUUAGGAGAUCCUAUAGACAACCUAAAAUACAAUUAUUCAAACUUAACACAACAACAUAUAGAUAGGAUGACAUUCUCCUUCAAAAGGUUAUCAAAAGACUUACUUAAGUAAAUCAAGAAGAUAACGUCUGUGAUUGACCUCUUCAAGAUUACCUAUAUAAUCCUUAAAACUACCUAAGGCUUAUAUCAUGUCCACAAAAACAACAUCUUUCCUAACUAGAGUCAUUCUUAAGACUUAUCUAGCUAAGAUACGAAGUGAUCAUUCUUAUUCCCCUUUCACACCUUAACUAGAUAACCCUUAACUACUCUAGAUGAGUACUUAUUCAUUUUAAAUGCUUUCUUAACUUAAGUCAUUACAUUCAUUAGUUCAUUUAUAGACUCAUUCCUCACAUUAGGACAUUCAACAAUUAGUCUUGGACAACACCUAGGAACUCCAACUAAAACCUUUAAACCAUAUUGUACGAUUUUUAAAUAGCGUCCUAUACCACCACCUAAACUUCAUAGAAGUUUUCUAAUUCUAGUAUGUAUAACAUUUGAUGAGAAUAUACAAUAACUAACAUAAACAAUGAUCACUAGACAUGGAAUCAAGAGUUCUAACCUACUCUGAUGAGGGUGUUCUACUUGUCAAGGGUAGAAUUAGGACACAUCCCAUGUAGGCUCAUGGUUAAGGAAUAUGAAGGGCUUUUAUGCACUGUAGUUUAAUUCUCACAUGGAGAUACAUUUUAGUUUAGAGUCCGUAUCAAGUAGAGCUACUUCCCUUAACAUAAUUACUAUGUGCUUUCCUUUGUUCUCAUAGAAUAAUUGACACUAAAGGAUCACUUGUAGAUGUUUCCUUAUCUAGUUCAUAACCCAAUCACAUUCACCCUACCGAAGAGGUCCACUAGGGCAACCUUUCAAUGGCGACUAAGAUAGCUCUUCAUGACUCCCAAUAUACAGAAAAAGAACACAUACUUUCACAUUACUUCACAUGUAGAUAUAUAUAUAUAUAUAUAUGCUCAUACAUCACAUAAAUAAACUACACAAAUCAUUAUAAUACUUCAAGUAGUUGGCAAAAAGGUCGUGAUCAUCAUAAUACAUAAAGUAACCCCGACAAGGCCAUAAAUUUGGCAAGUAAAGCACAUAAAACCGCAACAAUAAGUGCACCAUACCAAUCACAACAGAAUUGAAGUAUAAUACAUAUAAAAUAAAGGAAUUAGAUCAGCGUACCACCACCCUAUUCUCAACACUUCAAUCCUUUGUCAAAUCAUCGCAAUUCAAUACCAUAAAGCCUUUACCCAAGGCAAUAACUAAUAAUUUAAUACAUAAACUAUGAAAUUCAAUGAAACUAGGUCAAUAAAAUAUAAUUUCAUCAACUUUAGACAACCUAUAUAUCAAUUCAAUAUAAUUGAUACAUCAAUGAAUAUACCAUAGAAAACUACACACAUUAUACAAUCCAAAUAUCUAAUAAACUAUUAAUUUCGCAUUUCCAAUUAUAGAUAUUAAAUUAGCAAUUCAUGGAAAUAUCAUAUAACACAUUAUACAAUGGAAACAUCUAAGAAAACAUCAAUUUCACAUAAUCAAUAGAAUCACAACACAACAAGGAACAAGAAUAUAUUCUCUAACUCAUUAUGUUAUAAACUCACAUUCUUCAUCCCAAAUAGCAAAAGCUCAUUUUAUAUUUAAUGUUAAGCUCAUAUAAAUCAAUUCUAACUACAUUACAACAAUUUUAGUCCAAAGAAUGAAUUAGUUAAUUUUUCUAAAUCUUCACACUAAGCAGGCAAUGCUACAAUGAAUUUUUCAACUUUUUUUUUCAAAAAUGUAACUUUAAGGGAAUUCAUGAUGGAAACAUGCUAUAUGGAAUGUACAACCACAUAAACACAUCUUACAUCAUAAUCAUAACUUCAUAAAAGGCAUAAUGCAAGGAAUAAAUGAAAUUCAAUUUCCACAAGACCCCUAAACACAAUGCAUAUGCGACUUAUUUCCAUGAUUUUCUACUCUCAAGCUUGAGUUGAAUAAAAGAGAUGAGACAAUAAAUUAAGACUCUUUUACUCACCAUACUCCCCCACUUAGAAAGAACUCAUAACACUAAAGAGGUACAAGGACUUACCAUCAUCACCAUCCUCAUUUGACUUUGCUCCUCUAGUGUUGAGUGCAUAGAAAUGCCUCAUAUUUAGAGCAUCAUCCUUUGCAACAUUAAGAGCAACUUUCUUACUAUCUCUUCUUCUAGCCGCAAUGUAGGACAAUCUCUCACCUUAUGAUCGCCCUUCCCACGACCAAAAAAACAACUAGUACCGGCUAGACAUUUCCCAUAGUGCCUUUUCCAAAAGUGACACAUGUAGCCAUUCCAUUUUGAGAACCACCGCCUCUCUAAAAUUUCACGUUAGCACUCCUAGGUUUUUUAGAUUUUGAGCUCUAUUUUAGAACUAGUUUGAUGUUGUUCACUAGAACAACUCGAUUUUAAAUUUUUAAACACCCUCUUACGUUCGGAGUUUUCGAUUGAUUGGGCAUACACCAUGAGUCUAGCUAGGGUCAUAUCAUCAUGUAGCAUGGCCGUACAACAUUCUUCCCUCCCUAUAUCGGUGACACUCAUCAUGAACCUACUCAUAUCAUCCUUAGAGUUAGACACAAGGGACGGAGUAUGUUUAGAAAACAUAGAGAACUUCAAAGAGUAUUCCUUAACACUCAAGUUUCUUGCUUAAGAUUGAUAAAAUUCUCUACCUUAACCUCCGUCCUUUCACGGGGAAAUAACCUUCCAACAAAAGUUUCCUUUAAUUCUUCCCAUUCAAUAGGACCCGACUCCACUGUCUUAUUGCCUUUACAUUGUGUGUACCAUACUUGAGCAACAUAUUUCAUUUUAAACAAAGCCAACUUUGCUUUCUUUCUAGAAGUUACUCCCAUAGCAUGCACUAUCGUAUACACCUUAUCAAUAAACUCUUGGGGAUCUUCUCUGACCUUAGAGCCCAAAAGAUAGGAGGAUUCAUCUUCAUAAAAACUCUUAAUCUAGAUGUGAUAGUACUCUCCAGAAAGUACCAGUGAGGGUGCUAACAUUGAUGUGGAUACUACUGACAGUUUCCCAACUAUUGAUGGAGUGGGUUCCGAGAAAGCGGACCCGCCGGCUUAUUGAUCUUCGGCACUAUGCGUCGAGGGUAUUAUUUUAUAUUUUUUAUGCAUUAGGGACAAUUGCAUGCUUUUUUUAGGGUGGGGUAAAUGGAAAAAGAGUGGUAGAGUGAAAUCUGAGAAGCCCAACUCAAGAUCCUCUAUUGGGGUUUUUUUGCCUGUGUUCUUUUGGCCCAAGAGAUUGGUUAUUUGACUAUUGAACCGGCAUGUUUAGUAUCUUAUUAUAACAACUUGAAAAUCCAAGACAUGCCAUAAAUCCUAAAGUAGGUGUCAUAACGUUUAAGUACUUUUUGUAAGUCCAUCUUAAUGAAUAUAGGUCAUUAAGGAUGUUUAAGAACCAAAACGUUCAAGAACAUCCUCGGCAUUCGGAAAGUUGGUUCAAAGGGGUAUUAGUGUGCCUUAGCCUAUUUGACUAACUUUUAAGAGUCGAAAAUGUUUGAAAAUAGGUGAAAGGGUAGCUUAUAAGUGUUGAGUUGUUUCGUGGUUAAAACGUCCGAGUACGACUAACCAAAGACCAACCAAGGGAUCUUGAGGAGGACCCUUGUGUUUUAAGAAACAGAGCCUCGAUAAUGGGAAACAACGUGACCACCUACAGCCUGUGUGUGGACUGGCGGGACGUCGAGGCCACAAUCGUCAUAGACUUAGACAAGUUGAAGAAGGUCUCUGCCUGCACAGUCUCUAAACUCAUCGAUGGAGUUCAUGAUGGAGGGGGUGAGGGAACGUCGACUUACAGACGGCCCGUCUAUCGAGGUCUUGUUUAUGAGUGUCGAGUUUCUUAUUUAUUUAAGUUAGUUGGGGGAUUAGGUGAAUAAUCGGGGGUGUAAGGGAGUCUAAGUAAGUUUAUUAAGUCCAAAUAAAAAUACCCUCAACCCUCAUUAAUCAAAAGACAACUCAUAAAUAAACUCUCUUCCUUCUAUCUUCUUUCUCUCUCUACUUGGAAUCACCAUUGAAAAUUAGCAAGGAUUUAAGAUUUGGGGGCUGGAAAGGGACAAAUUCACCAUCAUUUUUUUUCAAACGUUAAGGUAUGGUUCUAAUUUACCUUUGGGACUCUUUCCUCAAAGGUUUCCUCCAAAAUGUGUUUAAAAUAUUUAGUUUUCUUAUGCGUUUCAUUUAAUUACGAAAUAGAAGUUGUGAAUUGAAUUGUUGUUGAUUUAUUUACGUUAUAUUGAAUAGAUUAACACGUAUUUUAACUGGUUUCUUGUAAUUUUUUAUGGUUUUGUCUAAAUUGAAGAACAUGAUACUCAAUCUCUAACCCUAGGUUGUGAGCUUGAGCUAUAUUUGACUUGGUUAUUGAUUAGAUAACUAUCAUAUGGUGUUAUUAUAAUUAAAUUAAGAUGAAUUAUUGGCCUAUCAUGCUAGUUCAUGAGAUGUGAUUUAGGUUAUGAAUUGUAAUGUGAAAUUAACAAAUAUACUUGUCUUAUGUUGUGAUCUAGUGUUGAAUUGUGUUAUAGAGAUUCAAUUGGCCUUGUUAUAUUAUUGGUAAUCAUUUUGUGAUGAUGUUACUCCCCAAAAUUUGGGUUGAGUUAUGAGUUAAUGGUAAGACCUUGAUGAUAGACUAUGAGGAAGACUGGGUAAGUCUUAGACGCUCUAUGCUUAAUUCCAAUUGUGAUUAAUUGUUGUUAAGCCAUGAUAUUACAUUUGAGUAUGUUUUAUAUUAUUAUUAUAAGGUGGUUUGAUGUUAAAUCUAUAUGUAUUGACUAUGUUGUGAGGUUGAUUAAGGUGCAUGUGAUAUAAGGAUGGUGAAAAUUAUUAACAUGCCUUGAUAUGCUAAUGUGUUAAGCUCACAUAUAUAGAUUAAGAUGAAAGGUAUUAUACUCACACAAUUCUUAUUGAGCUAUUGAUAAUGGUUAUUAUAAAAAGGGUAGACCCUAUAACCUAAACUUAGCUAUAAUUGAUAAUUAAAAGCUUAACGACAUAUCAAAAAGGGACUCUAUCAUAUAAGAGAGUGAACUAGAUUGAGGAGUGUCCUUUCCCACAUAGGGAAGGUAGGAAAACUAUAUUAGUUUUGAGAGUGGAGACUCUAAUGCAUGGCGCAUAAAAAGUAUCCCAAAAAAUCUCUUAUUUUAUUGACCUAUGUUUCCCCUAUAAAAAUACUAGCUAGUGGAUCCACACAGUUGCUAUGUUUCAUGUUUUUUACAACCUUUUAAAGUAGUUCACCUUUUUUGUUGUAGAUCAUGAUAUUCCCAAAAGGUAAAAGUAAUUAAAAGACUUUAACUCUAACUUAGAUAGCUUAAGCGGUCUAUCUUAGUCUAGUCAGGAGAAUGCGACUCUACCUAAACAUUCCACUAGUUAUCCUUAAGGGGAUUCUUAGGAGGAGUUUCUUAUAUAUGUUUAUUCUAUGAUUAUAUAUGAUGUAUAAAUGAUGAUUGUGGCACAUUGUUGAAAAUAUAUGUUGAUUAGUUCAUUUAUGAAUAUGCCUUCGGUCAUAAUGUUAAUAUAUGAUCAAAUGUAAACCUAAUUGUUAUGUUAUGUAAAGUUGGACAUUAGUCAUGGUUUCUUGUUGAGGAUACUUGAUUUAGGAAGUUUAUGGGGAUUUGCAUUGUCAUUGAACUUGUUGACUUGAUAAGGACUCAUGAGUAGUUGUCUUUCUUAUUAUGAUAUGAUUGACUCUUAUUUAUUCUUAUGAUAUUGUUCCUUUAUGAUAUGGUUGUAAUAAAUCAUUGUUUCAAGUAUGUUGAGAAAAGUAUUACUUGUUGAGAUUGAAAAGUAUUACUUGUUGAGACUGUUGAUGUGAUUUUCUCUACUUUGCAUUGGUCCCUAAACGGGUAAAAUGCCAUAUUUUUACAAAAGUCCCUUUUGUGCAUAUUUUGCUUGUGUGUGUGUAUAAGGUCUCAUUCUUAGUACAUGUUGAGUACUAACCCCAUUUUCUUCCCUUUUCCCAAACAUUUUACGUUCCGGCCAAUGAAGAGCAUUGAAGGCGACAUUGAUGAAGGCUUGGAUUCUUCCUUUCAUACAAGUGGCGUAGGUCCUCAACUUCCGAAGGCAAUUCCAUCAUCUAUCUUACGAACUAGUUAUGAUCCUAAUGAAUCUUUCGUUCCUUUCCUUUUCAAUGGAGUACUAUAAUUUUGUAUGACCUAUAUGUGGUCUUGUUUGAUUGAUGUAAGGGCUAUGCCUAUAUUUUGAUAAUCAUUUAGAUUGUAUGAGAUGAGACAAUCAUUGAGACUAUUUCUAUGUUUUAUAUAUACGUAUGUGUGAUAAAAGUAGAAGGCUAUGUAACUUUCUUAUAUGAAGAGUCUAUGCAUACUUUAUAUGAAAGCAUAUUAUGUGUAUGUAGAGGUCUAUGUAAACCUCAAUAUAGUGAUAAUGAAAGUUCAAAAUUUUUUCCCG